GACGAACGUUAGCGGCAGGCUUAACACAUGCAAGUCGAGCGAGAAAGAGGGGCAACCCUUGAGUAAAGCGGCGGACGGGUGCGUAACACGUGGAUAAUCUGCCUUCUGGCGGGGAAUAACAGUCCGAAAGGAUUGCUAAUGCCGCAUGUGUCUGUGUGGUUUCCGAACUGCACAGAGAAAGAGGGCGCCCGCAAGGGGCUCUCACCAGAAGAUGAGUCCGCGUCCCAUCAGCUAGUUGGCGGGGUAAUGGCCCACCAAGGCAGAGACGGGUAGCUGGUCUGAGAGGAUGACCAGCCACACUGGGACUGAGACACGGCCCAGACUCCUACGGGAGGCAGCAGUGGGGAAUAUUGGGCAAUGGGCGCAAGCCUGACCCAGCCAUGCCGCGUGAGUGAUGAAGGUCUUCGGAUCGUAAAGCUCUGUGGGAA
rnacentral:rRNA from 1 species